rnacentral:rRNA from 1 species
GAUGAACGCUGGCGGCGUGCCUAAUACAUGCAAGUCGAGCGAACGGACGAGAAGCUUGCUUCUCUGAUGUUAGCGGCGGACGGGUGAGUAACACGUGGAUAACCUACCUAUAAGACUGGGAUAACUUCGGGAAACCGGAGCUAAUACCGGAUGAUAUUUUGAACCGCAUGGUUCAAAAGUGAAAGACGGUCUUGCUGUCACUUAUAGAUGGAUCCGCGCUGCAUUAGCUAGUUGGUAAGGUAACGGCUUACCAAGGCAACGAUGCAUAGCCGACCUGAGAGGGUGAUCGGCCACACUGGAACUGAGACACGGUCCAGACUCCUACGGGAGGCAGCAGUAGGAAAUCUUCCGCAAUGGGCGAAAGCCUGACGGAGCAACGCCGCGUGAGUGAGGAAGGUCUUCGGAUCGUAAAACUCUGUUAUUAGGGAAGAACAUAUGUGUAAGUAACUGUGCACAUCUUGACGGUACCUAAUCAGAAAGCCACGGCUAACUACGUG